ensembl:lncRNA
CACAACAUCACCUCAUCUCGUGGCCAGGAGCCACAGUGCAUCCGCCGUCGCCACAGUGCAUCCGCGCCGCGAUGCUAUCGCUGUCUGCUCUGUGGACACGAGGCCGGCUGAUUGGGCUACUCAUUUUUAUUCAUUUGACAUCUACUUAAGUAAUUCAUUAGCAGUGCUUUAGCCCUCGGCUGUGAGCAUUUCCCGGGACACAGCAUCGUCGUUCCUCACCUUUUUCUUUCCUUCAUAAAGAAUGUCUGAGAGGCUCACGAUAACGUCACUUCAAGAUGAGGUAAUGCCUCACUUUGGUUUUCACUAAUGCAUGUCUGAGAGCGAGAAAUAGGCUAAUGGAUUUGGUCAGGAGGCCUGUUAAGGCGCUCGCUAAUUAUCGCAGAGAGCAGCGGUGAGCACUGACUGCAUGACCGCGGAGUUUCUCUACUCGCUUUCUUUCAGAUACUUGUGGUUCCACUAGAUCAGUGGUUCUCAAACUGUGGGGCGCGACCCUCUGGUGGGGCGCAGAGGUAUAACAGGUGGGGCGCGAGGGGCUUUUUAAAAAUUGUAUAUUAUUCUUUUAUUUAUAAUCCUUUAUUAAUCCCACAUGGGGAAACUAUUCUCUGCAUGUUAAGGAGCAGUGUGGAGAGAACGCGGAUCGAACCGCACUGUAAAACACAGCCCUGUUUAGUUAUGUCCACUUACUUCUUCAAGAGCUCUGAAGUUUUAGAUUUGAACUCAAGUCAAAACUUAGUUUGUAUGCUUUGCGUUGACUUCUUUGAGAUAUAUUUGUGUUAAUUGAACUUGGAUCUUUAAGUUAUCAGUUAAAAAAAAGAAAAAGACUGAAAAAGGCUGGAGUGGGGGUAAACUGUCCAAUUCCAAUGAAAAUAUAGGCAUUUUGUGGUAAACAAGAAAGGACUAUUUCCACCAGUGGAGGGAUACUAUUAACGGUUAAUAGUAUCCCUUAAAAUGUUGUUAUUUCAAUGAUAAUUAAUAAUUCAGCAUGGACCAUUUUGUUACAUUUUGAAAAAGUUUGGGAAGCACUGCACUAACUUUUAGAAAUCAAUGCAAUCAAAGUCUGUCGGUUUUCUGAAAUGUUCCUCGGGUUUAAUAUCCGUAUUCCAAAAUAAAUGAGCACUUACCGUAGUACAGCUCUUGCUAUCAGAGGUUGAAAUGUUAUUUCCUUCCAAAGCCAAACGUCCAGCAAAACAAGCUGAAAAACCAAAUUAGCAAGCACAGGCUGAUUUGAAGGUUGCACAAAUACCAAGAAGCGUUGGCUCUCAUUUGGACGUGUGAGUCUCUGGCCCAGUGGUAAAUGUAAUGUAAUUCAAAAUGCGCUCCACUUUGAGCUCUGCUUUGGUUUCCACCAAGUUAUGAGGACAUAACCUGCUUUUUAACUGAUGAAUAGGCGACAGCUGCAGUGCUUUGUGGUGUUUGGCAGGUAACAUAAAAGGCUUUUUUCUUACCAGCUGCUUACUGAUGCUGACAACAAUGACAGUGAUUUUGCACUGUCUCCCCUAGUUUU